GUGGGGAAUAUUGGACAAUGGGCGAAAGCCUGAUCCAGCCAUGCCACGUGUGUGAAGAAGGUCUUCGGAUUGUAAAUCACUUUAAGUUGGGAGGAAGGGCAGUAAGUUAAUACCUUGCUGUUUUGACGUUACCGACAGAAUAAGCACCGGCUAACUUCGUGCCAGCAGCCGCGGUAAUACGAAGGGUGCAAGCGUUAAUCGGAAUUACUGGGCGUAAAGCGCGCGUAGGUGGUUUUGUAAGUUGGAGGUGAAAUCCCCGGGCUCAACCUGGGAACUGCCUCCAAAACUGCAUGACUAGAGUACGGUAGAGGGUAGUGGAAUUUCCUGUGUAGCGGUGAAAUGCGUAGAUAUAGGAAGGAACACCAGUGGCGAAGGCGACUACCUGGACUGAUACUGACACUGAGGUGCGAAAGCGUGGGGAGCAAACAGGAUUAGAAACCCCUGUAGUCC
rnacentral:rRNA from 1 species